UUAUACCAGAGAAACAUGCUAAGCCCUCCACGCUGCCUACUGUGUUUUGCCACUUGGAUCUUCAAUAUAUGCUGACAACAAUUGGACCUUCAUCUACCUGUUUGGGAUUUUCAAGCACCUGGCCUCAUGGAACCCCGCCUUUUAAGAACAAUCUUUCCUAAGCCAAGGAUUAAGGGGACUGCAUCAUCCGAAAUUGGCCCUCCAGUAAUAUUAUUCCCACUGCACAUGGGACAUUGCUAACUUUUCAUCCGUCACCGUAUUGAUGCCGUCUACUAGUGAUGACGUCAGCGGAAGUAUGGGAUGUGGUGCUGCACGAGUUUUUUCACUUGGUGAUUCAAUUUAUGUAUAAAGUCACCGUAUUGAUGCCGUCUACUAGUGAUGACGUCAGCGGAAGUAUGGGAUGUGGUGCUGCACGAGUUUUUUCACUUGGUGAUUCAAUUUAUGUAUAAAGUCACCGUAUUGAUGCCGUCUACUAGUGAUGACGUCAGCGGAAGUAUGGGAUGUGGUGCUGCACGAGUUUUUUCUCUUGGUGAUUCAAUUUAUGUAUAAAGUCACCGUAUUGGCGCCGUCUACUAGUGAUGACGUCAGCGGAAGUAUGGGAUGUGGUGCUGCACGAGUUUUUCCACUUGGUGAUUCAAUUUAUGU